rnacentral:rRNA from 36 species
AACAAGGUCUCCGUAGGUGAACCUGCGGAGGGAUCAUUA